ACGGGAGGCAGCAGUGGGGAAUAUUGGACAAUGUGCGAAAGCCUGAUCCAGCGACGCCGCGUGAGUGAAGAAUUAUUUCGGUAUGUAAAGCUCUAUCAGCAGGGAAGAUAAUUACGGUACCUGACUAAGAAGCCCCGGCUCACUACGUGCCAGCAGCCGCGGUAAUACGUAGGGGGCAAGCGUUAUCCGGAUGUACUGGGUGUAAAGGGAGCGUAGACGGCAAGGCAAGUCUGAUGUGAAAUCCCGGGGCCCAACCCCGGUACUGCAUUGGAAACUGUCUAGCUAGAGUGCAGGAGAGGUAAGUGGAAUUCCUAGUGUAGCGGUGAAAUGCGUAGAUAUUAGGAGGAACACCAGUGGCGAAGGCGACUUACUGGACUGUAACUGACGUUGAGGCUCGAAAGCGUGGGGAGCAAACAGGAUUAGAUACCCUGGUA
rnacentral:rRNA from 1 species